rnacentral:rRNA from 1 species
CAAUAAGCGGAGGAAAAGAAACUAACAAGGAUUCCCCUUAGUAACUGCGAAGUGAAGCGGGAAAAGCUCAAAUUUAAAAUCUGGUGGUCUCUGGCCAUCCGAGUUGUAAUCUAGAGAAGUGUUACCCGCGUCGGACCGUGUACAAGUCUCCUGGAAUGGAGCGUCAUAGAGGGUGAGAAUCCCGUCUUUGACACGGACCCCCGAGGCUUUGUGGUGCGCUCUCAAAGAGUCGAGUUGUUUGGGAAUGCAGCUCAAAAUGGGUGGUAAAUUCCAUCUAAAGCUAAAUAUUGGCGAGAGACCGAUAGCGAACAAGUACCGUGAGGGAAAGAUGAAAAGAACUUUGGAAAGAGAGUUAAACAGUACGUGAAAUUGCUGAAAGGGAAACGCUUGAAGUCAGUCGCGUUGGCCGGAAAUCAGCCUUCCUUUUGGUUGGUGUACUUUCUGGUUGACGGGCCAGCAUCAGUUUUGACCGGUGGAUAAAGUUGUAGGGAAUGUGGCAUCUUCGGGUGUGUUAUAGCCCUGCUUCGUAUACAUCGAUUGGGACUGAGGAACUCAGCACGCCGCAAGGCCGGGAUUCGUCCACGUUCGUGCUUAGGAUGCUGGCAUAAUGGCUUUAAUCGACCCGUCUUGAAACACGGACCAAGGAGUCUAACAUGCCUGCGAGUGUUUGGGUGGAAAACCCGAGUGCGUAAUGAAAGUGAAAGUCGAGAUCCUUGUCAUGGGGAGCAUCGACGCCCGGACCAGAAGUUUACGGACGGUUCUGCGGUAGAGCAUGUAUGUUGGGACCCGAAAGAUGGUGAACUAUGCCUGAAUAGGGUGAAGCCAGAGGAAACUCUGGUGGAGGCUCGUAGCGAUUCUGACGUGCAAAUCGAUCGUCAAAUUUGGGUAUAGGGGCGAAAGACUAAUCGAACCAUCUAGUAGCUGGUUCUGC